GCUCGUAGUUGAAUUUCGGGAUUUGUUGCUAGUUGGUCUAACUGGCCAUAUUGGUUAACAGAUCCUCAUUUGCUGGACGGCUGGCGAUGAUCUUUAUCGAUUGUCGUCAGUUGCCAGAACGUUUACUUUGAGAAAAUUAGAGUGCUAAAAGCAGGCUCACGCCUAUAUAUAUUGCAUGGAAUAAUGAAAUAAGAUCUCGAUUUUAUUUCGUUGGUUUUAGAAAUUGAGAUAAUGAUUAAUAGGAUCAGAGGGGGGCGUACGUACUGUGGUGUGAGAGGUGAAAUUCUUGGAUCGCCACAGGACGAACAGCAGCGAAGGCGUUCGCCAAGAAUGUUUUCAUUAAUCAAGAACGAAAGUUUGAGGUUCGAAGACGAUUAGAUACCGUCCUAGUUCAAACCAUAAACGUUGCCAACUGUCUUUUAGAUGCGGUUAUUUAUAUGACUCAUCUGGCGGAUCUCGAGAAAUCUAAGUUUUUAGGUUCCGGGGGAAGUAUGGUUGCAAAGCUGAAACUUAAAAGAAUUGACGGAAG
rnacentral:rRNA from 1 species